AUUGAACGCUGGCGGCAUGCCUUACACAUGCAAGUCGAACGGCAUCGCGGGAAAGCUUGCUUUCCUGGCGGCGAGUGGCGAACGGGUGAGUAACACAUCGGAACGUACCGGCUCGUGGGGGAUAACCCGUCGAAAGACGGGCUAAUACCGCAUACGCUCUUCGGAGGAAAGCAGGGGACCUUUGGGCCUUGCGCUAGCCGAGCGGCCGAUGUCCGAUUAGCUAGUUGGUGGGGUAAAGGCCUACCAAGGCGACGAUCGGUAGCGGGUCUGAGAGGACGAUCCGCCACACUGGGACUGAGACACGGCCCAGACUCCUACGGGAGGCAGCAGUGGGGAAUCUUGGACAAUGGGGGCAACCCUGAUCCAGCAAUGCCGCGUGGGUGAAGAAGGCCUUCGGGUUGUAAAGCCCUUUCGGCAGGGAAGAAAUCGGCGGGGCGAAUAACCCUGCUGGAUGACGGUACCUGCAGAAGAAGCACCGGCUAACUACGUG
rnacentral:rRNA from 1 species